UACAGAGGUCUCAAGCGUUGUUCGGAUUCAUUGGGCGUAAAGGGUGCGUAGGCGGCGCGGUAAGUCGGGUGUGAAAUCUCGGAGCUUAACUCCGAAACUGCAUUCGAUACUGCCGUGCUUGAGGACUGGAGAGGAGACUGGAAUUUACGGUGUAGCGGUGAAAUGCGUAGAUAUCGUAAGGAAGACCAGUGGCGAAGGCGGGUCUCGUGGACAGUUCCUGACGCUGAGGCACGAAGGCCAGGGGAGCGAACAGG
rnacentral:rRNA from 1 species